rnacentral:rRNA from 1 species
GACGAACGCUGGCGGCGUGCCUAAUACAUGCAAGUCGAGCGAAGUUUUUCUGGUGCUUGCACUAGAAAAACUUAGCGGCGAACGGGUGAGUAACACGUAAAGAACCUGCCUCAUAGACUGGGACAACUAUUGGAAACGAUAGCUAAUACCGGAUAACAGUAUUUCUCGCAUGAGAGAUAUUUAAAAGUUGGUUAUGCUAACACUAUGAGAUGGCUUUGCGGUGCAUUAGCUAGUUGGUGGGGUAAAGGCCUACCAAGGCGACGAUGCAUAGCCGACCUGAGAGGGUGAUCGGCCACACUGGGACUGAGGCACGGCCCAGACUCCUACGGGAGGCAGCAGUAGGGAAUCUUCGGCAAUGGACGGAAGUCUGACCGAGCAACGCCGCGUGAGUGAAGAAGGUUUUCGGAUCGUAAAGCUCUGUUGUAAGAGAAGAACGAGUGUGAGAGUGGAAAGUUCACACUGUGACGGUAUCUUACCAGAAAGGGACGGCUAACUACGUGCCAGCAGCCGCGGUAAUACGUAGGUCCCGAGCGUUGUCCGGAUUUAUUGGGCGUAAAGCGAGCGCAGGCGGUUAGAUAAGUCUGAAGUUAAAGGCUGUGGCUUAACCAUAGUACGCUUUGGAAACUGUUUAACUUGAGUGCAAGAGGGGAGAGUGGAAUUCCAUGUGUAGCGGUGAAAUGCGUAGAUAUAUGGAGGAACACCGGUGGCGAAAGCGGCUCUCUGGCUUGUAACUGACGCUGAGGCUCGAAAGCGUGGGGAGCAAACAGG